CUGAAAUCCGAAUGGUCCUUAGUCCAGCCUUUUUGUUUCUCUGGACAAGAAGGCGGAGGUGAGGUUUGUCCACUGGGGCAGAAACCUUCAAGCCAGGUCAGGUUGGUAACCCGGGAUUCCCCGCCCCCCCUUAUUUCUGCCUUCGUGUUUCACUUGAGCUGUGGUCUGGACUCCCUGUAGCAUCUGCCCUGGGGCAGCCGUAGAGGGAAGGGCCGAGAGGAGGCCAGCCCGGGCUGUCCCCGCUGCUGCCGGCUCUGCCCAGCGCCUCACUCGGGUGUGUGUAGCUGGCCGCCCUCUGCUGUGUCUCCUCUCAUCAUCUUACCACCUCCUCCUCCUCCUCUUCUUGGCCCUUUCCUUUGCCCCUCAGGUCCUCUUCUCAGGUGGCCUCUGCUUGGGGAAAGUCCCGCUGCCCCUAUGCCCAGAACUACGAGGAGGGAGGGCAGCCCGCCGUGGCGUGUGGGUGCUCUGGGGGUGCCCUCGCCCCCUUCCUUCUCCUCUGCACAUUUGCACCUUCUCUCAGGACACCUGUGCAGGGACCCAGGCACACACCUGCUGCUGAAGCCAACCGGGGCAGCGUGCCCUCUGCUUGGAGUGGGGGGUGGUGUGCGGGGCUGUCUGAGAGCUGGUCCCCUGCACAAUUCCUGCAGGCCGCGCCUUCCUGUCCUCCACAACCCCGGAGGCUCGGGCUGCUGUGCAAACUAACGGCUGUCCCGGGGCAGGGAGGACGAGCCUCUUGAGCCUCUCGGCAGUCUAGUCGGCAGCACAAGGUAAGGCGGGACUGAGGCACAGCGGAGCUGAGCUCCUUGCCAGGGCCACCCGCGCACAGGCUCUUCGGCAUCAUGCACAGGGCCCAGCUUCGUACCGUGGGGGAGCAGACUCACGUCAGAGGCCCUGCCAGGACCUACCUCAGCGAGGUCCAGACUGCCAAGGGCUCACGGAGCAUGUGCAUAGAGUUAGGCAGAGUGGCUCAGCAGAAGUCAGUUAAAUAGGACACAACGACAGAGGUCAGAAAGGCCCAGAGUCGGUUAUUUCAAAACAUUAGAUCGAGCAACCCUUGGUCACUGACAUGGUGAGCACGCUGCCGUUAACAUCCACCAAAUGCGCUGCAGCGUCCACAGUGGCAGGAUUUGCUGAAUAACAGUAAGUGCUCAAGCGACACCACUUCCUUUUUUCUUUAAUUUUGUUAAUUUGUUCUUUUUAGAUAUACAUGACAGUAUUUUGACGUAUUGUACGUGCAGUUUCACUGGUCGUGUAUUCUUACAUGAACUCAGGAGAGUGAUGUCCAUCCUCUCUACUGCCCUUCCAUUCCCGUCCCCCACCUGGCCUUCCCCUUUGUCUGAUUCAAUGAGCUUCUGUUCUUCCUCACCCUUCCCUCACUGUGGGUUAGUGUCUGCACAUCAGAGAGAACAUUCGGCCUUUGGUUGGGGGCAUGGGCUCAUUUCAUUUAGCAUGAUGGUCUCAGAUCCUGACAUCACCAGCUAAUGUCAGGCCUCGCCAUUUUCAUCGAUGGCAGUUCACUGAACACUUGUGGGUCACCUGGCAUCAUAAGCCAGGCAACCGCAGGCUCUUUUGGUAUUGGGGAUUGAACCCCGGGGCGCUUAAACACUGAGCCACACCCCUGGCCUUUUUAUUUUUUGAGAUAGGGUCUCACUAAGUUGCUUAGGGCCUCAUAAAUUGUGGAGGUUGCCUUUGAGCUUACAAUCCUACUGUCUCAGCCUCCCACGACUCUAGGAUUAUACACGUGUGCCACCAAACCCAGGAAUCAUAGGCUCUUUUAUUCCAAUCUUAAUUUCUAAUAUCUGAAACAUUCAAGUCACACUGUUUUAUAUAUGUAUAUAUGUCAUGUUACAGAAAGGCUAAGGAAGGGGUAAGGCAGCCACAGGGGUCCAGGAGGCUGCAGAGAGUAGAUCCAAAUGCAGAGAGUCACUGUAGGUGUCAGAAAAGACUAGGAACCAGCUGGGGCACAGAGCUGUCAAAGGACAGGGGCUGAUUCUAGGCUGAGGUCCCCAAGAUGGCAGUUUCAAAGUGUCAACAUGGACUGUUAACUCUAAGUGUCAGCUUGGAGUGGGCCACACGUGUUCAUCACAGGUAGGAGAAAUAAUCCACACUGUGAGGAAGCCUGAGGACAGAGAUUCGGACAUUGUUCAAUGUGGUGAUCUUCCUGGCCAAGGCUGAAGACCAUUGAUCAGGUGAGGGGCCGAAGGCCACGGUGUCCAGUCUUGGGGUGCUCCUACUUUUCUGGGCUUCUAGUGAGGAGGUUGCUUCAUUUGGGGCUCAGGUGUGUUUGCUGGUGUGUUCUAUAAGCUCGUGGGCCUGGUUUUCCCAAAGGAGUUUGAUAAGUCCCUGCGUCUAUAUGCUUCUGAUUAAUUCAACAAGUGCACAGGUGGUCGUUUUUAUUGGCAUGAUUAAUUUGAUUUCAACUUGUGCCUUGUGGUUGUGCCUGGCAUACAGUGGUUGUUUACUUGUACAAACAGGAAUAAAGUCACUCAAUAUCUGCCCUUAAACUCAGAAUAGAGUAGUUCUUGUCAAACUGCUGCUUUGCAAAAUGGAGAAUCAAAGGUUAGGAGCAGCCUGAGGACUGCUGUUCUGCACACCAUGGAGUCACUAGGGUAGGCACAGCCUGAGGACUGCUGUCCUACACACCAUGGAGUCACUCAGGGCAGGCGCAGCCUGAGGACUGCUGUUCCACACACCAUGGAGUCACUAGGGCAGGCACAGCCUGAGAGCUGCUAUUUCACACAUCAUGGAGUCACCCAGGGCAGGCUCAGCCUGAGAGCUGCUGCUCUAUGCACCAUGGAGUGACUUGGAAGGACACAACCUGCUUGCCACACUGAUCAAGAUAAAAAUCCAAAACUGGGUGCGGUGGUGCACAACUAUUAUCCCAGAGGUUCAGGAGGCUGAGACAGGAGGAUCAUGGGUUCAAAGCCAGCCUCAGCAAAUGCGAGGCCCUAAGCAACUCAGUGAGACCCUGUCUCUAAAUAAAAUACAAAACAGGGCUGGGGACAUGGCUCAGUGGUUGAGUGCCCAUGAGUUCAAUCUCUAGAACCAAAAAAAAAAAAAAAAAGACAGAGAGAGAGAGAGAGAUAAAAACUCAAAAUUACAAAUUAUAAAGAUAAGAAUUAAAAGAAGGGACAUAACUCUGGAAUUUUUAAGGAGCAUUUGGACAGCCUCAUAGACGGGGGUCAAAGGCCUUCAGCCCAUCUAGUGUGCUGCAACAGUGUUAUCAGAGCAGGGGCUGACCAGUGUCUUUUUUCUGUGUUAUUUUAGCAAAGCGUUCCUUCUGUGGUCAACAUGUAAGUGGCCAAACAUUGAAGGCAGCUGAUGCACAUGUGACUGAGGCUCUGGUCAGGCUGGAGGAAGGAGAAUUUUGCCUUUAUUUCCUUCCGCAAAGUAGUAGCUACUCACAGCUCCCUAGUUACAUUGUCACAGGAGUGUCCUUUGCAGACAAAGUCCAGUUCACAUGAGCACAGCAUUUAGCUGUGGAGUGCGCCCUGCACCCUGGGUGUCCACUGCCUGCCCUCCCCUGCAUAGGCUGGGACCACGCCCAGCCAGCACUGCACUCUGGGGACCCUCUCUGCUCUAGAGUCUGGUGUUGGAGGUCCACUUGCCCACCAACUCCUGUAAUGUCAUCCAGGGGACCUGCAUUAAUUUCUGAGUUCUCACCUUCACCAUUGGUUUGGAGGUGACUCUUUGGCUGGGCUGGUGCACCAGGAGGGCAGUUCUGUGUGACAUGGGAGUGGCAGCAGCCAGUCUGUGCCAACCCACAGUCACAGCCUCCCUCUCUGAGGCUCCCUGCUCUGCCCUGCACUGCGCACCCAAAGGACUGUCCCGAGAUGUGCACUGAGGACAGCGUCUCCCCAAGUCCACUCUUGAUGCCCUUCCUGCACAUCCCGGCCACUCUGUCCCUGCGCAGCAGAGGGGCCAGCAGUGCUCCAGCUUCAUGGCUGUUCAGGGAUUGCAGAAAAAAGAGCAGCUUUAUUAAAUUAUCUCACAAGGGAGGGGUGGGCUGGGGCAACUUGGUUAUGAACGUGAAAUCCUCAUUCCAGGGACUUGCUUACAAGACACAUGGGGGAAACUGACUGGCAAGAUGAGAAGGAAGAGAUGCCGAGGGAUUGGGCAGCUUGAGAAGGAGCCGGGGACCCAGGUGUCCUGCUCAUGAUGAGGCAGGCUGGCUGCUGGGGACCCAGGCCCAGCCCUUGCCCAGCGAGCAGCCUCUCAGCACCUCCCCACUGGGCUCCUUUCCAGGUGUGGAGGCCUGUGCCAGGCACAUGGUGGGACGGCCUUCUCUGUCAUUGGUCACCAUCGUGUCUCAUCCUUUGGCACAGGACAGGAUACGAGUCUGGCUCGACUAGAACGCUGGGCGUCAGGGGCACAAUUGAGCCUAAGAGUUGGGAAACAAGGGCCCCAGUCUGAGUCCUCUCAUCAGGGUGUCAGAGAGCACACAUGUGCCUGAGGCAGGGACAAUGGCUUCACUCACCCGGCCAGCACAACACAGCACAGCAGGACUCCUGUGCCAUUCCCGGGUCUGCGGAAUGGCAGACCUGUCACCAUGGUCCCCUGUCACCACGGUUCCCUGUGGAGUGGAGCAGCCAGCUGAGGGGAGCUCCUGGAUGCUUCACGCUUACCAUGAACUGCCACGCCCACCCCCAGGGGGCUCCAGGGGCAGCCAGGCCACCAGGGAAGCCAUACGCCAUUCCUGGGCUUCCGCCCUCACCAGGGCACUGGAAAAAUGGGCUCAGCACCUUUCACGGGGAGGGAGCUCAUGUGGCUCCUGAGAAAGGAUGGGCGGAUGGCCAGGGGGAGAUUUGUCACCAUCAGAGCCAGGGGUUGCCACAUGUCCUUCUUAGGUCACUCUUCUGUUGUUCUAGAGCCAUCCAGAGUUGGGGUUAGGCAGACUAUGUGGAGCUGAGUGGGAGGGCAGGUUUGGGAUUUGUGGGGAACUGACUGAGAGUGGUCGGUGGGUGCUUGUGAACACAGAGGCUGUCUGGAGGGCUGGUGCUGCCUGGUUCCUCAGUUCUCUGUCACCAUGGUCCCCUGUCACCACAGUUCCCUGGCCAGCCAUCAAGAUAGCAGACCAAAUCCAUAAAAUCACAUUAUCGUCCACCAUGCUUUGGACCCUGUCACUGGAGGGCACCACACGCCCCUGGGUGGCUUGCCACUUGCUGGUGCCCCCAGGCACUUGGACUUUGUCCUGUGGCCUGGGUGUGUUGAUGUGUCCACAGUUGCUCUUUACUUCUAAGACCAGCAUUUCAGGUUCUUGGCUGUCCUGCGCUGCAGCCAUUUCUCUGGCCAUAACAGAAGCCAUGAGCUCCCCACAGGGUCAGUCCUUCCCCGAGGCUGAAUGCUGUCCCACACUGAGGGACUCAGCACUCAGCUUCUGACCCUGCCAAAUCGCUCAGCAAAUCCAGAGGUAGCCUGUGCCGGUCGCUGGGUGUUAGUGGCAAGUUAUCCAUCCCGGGUGGCAGACAGUCCCAGGAAGUGGUGGACUGGGGCAGCCAGGAGACACCAACAUGUCCCUCCUGAAGCUUAAAUAGGACUCCUUCAUAUUUGACCUUGAUAUGAUCACAGGGUGGACUGCGCACCUGCUCUGGGUGCUGCCUUGGUGUGUCUACCUCUUGCCAUGUCAGAGGACCUGGAGGUGGUCUCACAUGGGCCACCAGCUGUGUCCUCUGUUAGUCCAUUUUCUGUUCCUACACGCAGAAUCCUGCAAAGAAGCCAAGUUAUAAACUAACAGUUUUUUUUGGCUGGAAAGUCCAAGGUCAAGGGCCAGCAUCUGGGGAGGGUCAUGGUGCAUCAUGCUGUGGUGGACAGCAGAAGAAUCCACGAGAGACAGAGCAAGCAGGGCCAAUGGACUGGGGCUACCCGUUCCCUUGAGGACUCCUGUCAUCCACCUGAGGACCCUCAGAGCCCCAUACUUGUACAGUGGCAGAGGUCAACACGAGUCCCAGGGGACACUCAACCACAGCGCCUACCUGCCAAAUACACAGGUAUCUGACAGAGGCAAAGACAAACUGCCGCCAGGCCCCACAGCCAGGCCCCGCGGGGUAGGGCUGUUUCCAGUUAAAGCUUUCUUUUUGUUGGUGGGGUGGGGGGUAGGACUGUGGAUUGAGCUCAGGGGCAUUUGACCACGGAGCCUCAUCCAAUUAUGGAUUUUGUAUUUUAUUUAGACACAGGGUCUCACUGAAUUGGUUAGCCCCUUGCUUUUCCUGAGGCUGGCUUUGAACUCAGGAUCCUCCUGCCUCAGCCUCCCGAGCUGCUGGGAUUAUAGGAGUGCCUCCCUGCUCCUGGCUAGAGUCUUCUUUAGUGAAUUUUUAAGAUUUUCCAAUUGUUUGUACUCAUUGUGACUGACGAUAGCAGAUGUGCAAAGACAGAGUUUGGUGUUCCCAAACCCCCUCCCAGGGCUUCCUUCCUAAAGUGGCCACAGUCAGCCUAAGGGGGUUCUACCAACCUUCCCCACAAACGUUAGACUGUUAUCCUGGCUUUGGUGACACCUCACUCUGCAUUUGCAAUUAAAAAAGCCGAAGGCAAAUUAAUCUCAUUUUCUUGAAAUGAGAUACUUAUCUAUAUUUAAAGAAAGAUUUGAAAGAUACUUAUCUAUAUUUAAAGAAAGACUUGCCUGUUUACUCAGCAAAAUCUCCUCACAGCUACCCCUGUUGAUCAACAGGGCUCCUCGAGCCUGCCACAUGCAUGGUGACCUGGGCAGAUGUUGUGGGCCACAAGGGCCUGCGCUGGGAAGCAUAUGUGUCCAGUGGCAGGAGGGUGGCCAUGCUGGGCAAAGGGAAGACCCUGCAGUGUCCACACCUGGUUGUGGGGCGACUUGCUCAGGAGACUCCAAAUCCACAACAACUGCAAAUCCUGGCCUUCCCAGGGGCAUUCUGGUUCACUAAGAUUCUUCCCUCCCAUCAGUUCUAAUUUAUUUUGGAAAAUUCAUGGUUUGGCCGUAGGCAGCUGAGAGGGCAUCACCCGAUCUUCUUGUCCUCUCCUCUGGCAGGUGCAAGGGUCAUCUUUCUGUGCUCUCCGGAAGCGGCCUCUCAGGUCAUCCUGAAUCAGCAAGGGACCCUCAGUGCACAGCAAAUCCAGAGUGGGAGAUGGUUGGCUUUAUUCAGAAUUCUCCAUGCUUCAUGGUCAAAUGAUAAUUUCUCACAGUGACAAAACCCCUAAAGGAAUGAAUCCAGGGCAAGAUACCAUCCUGCUGCCCUCAAGACACACCUGAGUUCUCCAGCCCGACGUCCAAUCCAGCCAGCCUGGGGCCGGGGGGGCUGGGUGCAGGCAGUUCCGUCUCCCUGACACCCACGUUCCGAAAGCUCCUGCAGAGGUCUUGGGAAAGCUGCUGUUUGUACAUCCAAUGACCAACUGCAAAACCGAUUCACCUGGUUUCUCUGUUCUCAAAAAUUUAAUAUCAUUAAAAGUUUAUAAUCAAGUACAAAUUUUAUUUUAUAAUUUGUGACAAAUGGAAAUACUAGAUCCCUAGGGACAAUGAAGGAAACCCUCAUGGCUACACAACAGUGAAGUGAAAGAUCAGGUGGGCUCUGCUCUUGACACUGGCCUGUGUCACUGCCCAGGCACCGCAAUGUCUGAGAAUGCCUCUUGAACGCUGAGUGGACCCAUGUGUUCUGUACUGACCAAUUCGCCUCAUUUAAUUCACGGAUCGGGAAGGAUGGCUACAGUGCCCGUCAACGGGGGCUCAGAUUCUACUUUCUUGGCACCUGGAGAAAUCCACAGGCAGGCAAGAUGCAGAGUGAAGGCCUCCGAUGACUCCAGAGGGAAACAAGUGACCGGUAGCCACCGUGGUUUCCCCUGCAGUCCAAACUGUCCCUCUCAGCUGUUAGAACUUUAACUGGUUGGGAUUCUCCGCGGCCACUGGACUGCAGUCUCUGGUUUACCCUUGGAAAGCUCGCCUUGGUCGCCACUGCAUGUCGUUUAUAUCCAUCUUUACCUAAAGAAUUAAGUAGCCAAAUGAGACUGUGAUCUAACAAAGACCUCACAAAGAUCUAACAGAACGCGCAGCAGCAAGAAAGUGAUCUCCAAGUCUCCUCCGCGGGAGCACCCACAGCAUCAAACCAGCCAACAAGCUGAGGUCCUCGUGCUAGUAGGUUCUUGACCUAUGUGCCAGGGGCCCUGGAAAGGAUGGGGGAUUUUCACAUUUUGGGGGGUGCCAUAUCCUGUGGGUAAUUAACACUAGGAUCACAUCCCAUGGCUUUUGGCAGGUGUAACCUUCAGCUUUGUUUGUGACUUGAAGCGUCUACUCUCUGCAGAGCGUGAUAGCACAGUGCAGUUGGCAGAGCUACACACUAACACACACGGGGCUUAGACCCAUCAUUAAUUGAAGACAAUGAUGGAGUUGGAAAUGUAGCUCAGUGGUAGGGCCCUUGCCUGGUGGGCAGGAGGGCCUGGGGUCCACCUCCAGUACUGCCAGAAUAAAUAAUAGAUGAACACAAGUGACCCGAAGCCCUGCUCUUCACUGUCUGCAAAAGCAUUUAAACAGCAAAGCAGAAUGCAUUUUUUAGGAUUCUUUGGUUUUGGGUGAAGUGGAUCAGGAUGUGCCACUGGAAACACGCCACCUGGGUGUGAGAGCUAUUUUGAGCUGAUGAAGGUAUUUGCCUGCCACCCCUCAUCUGCCUGAAAGCAGAGAGCCCUAGAAUUCACGAAUUAAAUUCCUCCCUCCGGGGCACCUGAGCCUGCUCUCUUCAGAGAAAAGCUGUGCCGCCCCAGACUUUGGGACAAGAGGGCCCAGCUCCCAACCCUUCUCCUAAAGGCCCAUCGAUUUCCCCCAAGAGUCGGCUCUGCAGAGCCCCAUCCCUGCCCCUCCCUGGGCCUCAUGGAUGCCUGCUCCCGGUGGCUGGUUCCUGAGCACCAGUCUGCUUUUCUCUUGUUCUUCUGUCUGCUGCUGGUUUAAUUCAGGGGUGCCCCCACCCACUCACCCCCUCAUUACUAACCCAAGAGGAUAGAGGAAGAGUUUUUCUCCCCCUGUUAACAGCGGAAGCCCAGCCUGCUUCCACCCAUAAGGGAAGCUGGAGUCGGCCGCGGGACGGAGGUGGAAUGGGAGCCAGGGUGGGAGCCGCCGCCGGGAACCAGGCACAGGGCCGGCCUCUGCCCUGCCCUCACUCCCUCAGGUUGCAGAUUUUGGGGAGGGGGCCGCUGUGGUUUGACAGCCCUCUCAGAACAGUACAGGGAAAUGAGGGCUCCUGGCUAGAGGACAGGUGCGUGUUGCCUGCCAGGACCCUCACUAGCAUGGAGACCUACCGCAUGCUGGGCACCGGGUGCAGCAGCUGUCCUCACCCAGUCGCCGGGUCUAGUCGCGAGGCAGGCCCUGGCCUGAGAGCUUGGGGUGCACCGUGGAACACAGCAGCCCCACAGGCCUCAUAUUUCAGACAUGGAGAGGAUGUGGGAGGCUCUGUGGUGCACAGGUGAUUUGUGCGAUUGAGGGAAAAAGCAGAUGAAGGUAGAUGAAGGGCAUGCAGGUAGCAGGCUGCCAUAUUGAAUCAGGAGGUGGAUCUGAGCAAAGCCUUUAGCAAGGUUGGGUCGGGCCACGUACUAGGGACGCUCUGCCUUGGCCAGCAGACCGACCUGCCAACAGCAGGACUGAGCUGCAACAAAGUCCAAGGAGCUACUCAGGAGAGAGUCGGCGGAGCAUAUGGGACCUGGGAAGCAGGACAGGGUCCCUUGUCCAGGUCUGUGUGUCCAAGUGGCAUCUACACAGAGGGGUUUUUGUGCUCUCAGCCAGCAUGCCCUCUGCAGCAGCUGCCAGAGGCCAGGGCAAGGCCCCUAAACCUGGGCCAUCCCCUCUCUCUGCCAAGGGAGACAUGGUAACCAACUGUGCAACUGGUUUGUCUACUCUAUUGCUACAUUGUCUCAGUAGUGGCUUGAGGAAAUUUGAAACAUCUUUAAACAGGCAAUUAAGUAUAGAAAGAGACACUCUGUAGCUUGAUGCUGGUCACCUCUGUCUUUAUCCUCCUCCAGAGAGACCGAGGUGUUCACCAAGCUGCUGGGCACAGCCACUGGUAGGGCAAGGCCACCUUUCACACAUGCCUCUGGAUCCUAACCAGAGGAGGAUUAUUCUUUUUUUUUUAAUUUUUUAUUGUUGG
rnacentral:lncRNA from 1 species